rnacentral:rRNA from 1 species
CAUGUCCUUUAGAAUUUAAUUUAAGGUCUAGCCUGCCCACUGAAAUUAAUUUAAAUGGCCGCAGUAAUUUGACUGUGCAAAGGUAGCAUAAUCAUUAGUUUUUUAAUUAAAAGCUUGUAUGAAAGGUUGGACGAGGUAAAAUCUGUCUCUAAUUAAUUUAAUUUAGAAUUUAACUUUUAAGUCAAAAGGCUUAAAUUUAAUUAAAAGACGAGAAGACCCUAUAGAUCUUUAUAAUUUAUUUAUUAAAUUUAAUUAAGAAUUUUUUAAAUUUUAUUAAUUUAAUUAUUUUAUUGGGGUAAUAUAAAGAUUAAAUUAAUUCUUUUUUUUUAUUAACAUUAAUUUAUGAUUUUAUGAUCCAAUUUUAUUGGCUAUAAGAUUAAGUUACCUUAGGGAUAACAGCGUUAUUUUUUUAGAGAGUUCUUAUCGAUAAAAAAGUUUACGACCUCGAUGUUGGAUUAAAGAUUAUUUCAGGUGUAGAAGUUUGAAAAUUUUGGUCUGUUCGACCAUUAAAUCUUUACAUGAUCUGAGUUCAGACCGGUGUAAGCCAGGUCGGUUUCUAUCUUUAAUAAAUUAAAAUAUUUUAGUACGAAAGGACCAAUUAUUUAAUAUAAAAUAUUUAAAUUUUGUUUAUUAUU